rnacentral:lncRNA from 1 species
UCUCUCACACAACUCUCUAACUUUUGCAAUACAUAAAACUCCUACAAAUAACUAUGUUUAUAGGCAUCCAAGAUAUUCUAAUCCUAAUUUACUUCAAAUUCCUAUUUAUGAUAAUUACCAUCUUUUCCUAUCUUGGAUAGAAAUCCUUCCACAAUUAAUAUUCUACCAAGAAUCGGAUUACCUCAAUUAUCAUAAAUAAGAUACCUUCUCCAAUUAGGA